rnacentral:rRNA from 1 species
GACGAACCGUGCAAACGUUAUUCGGAAUCACUGGGCUUAAAGGGUGCGUAGGCGGGCUCGUAAGUCAGGGGUGAAAGCCCACGGCCCAACCGUGGAAGUGCCUCUGAUACUGCGAGCCUCGAGGGGGGAUAGGGGGCGUGCGGAACUCAGGGUGUAGCGGUGAAAUGCGCAGAUAUCAGGAGGAACACCAAUGGCGAAGGCAGCUCGCUGGGACGUGACUGACGCUGAGACGCGAAAGCGUGGGGAGCAAACAGG